CGGGCGUGUUGCGGAGCGGGCCAGUGAGCGCGAAGGGGCCGACGAGGAGGUAGCCAUGGGCGAGGCCGACCUCGAUGCCGCGGAGGAGCGGGCUGACGGCGGUGCGGUAGGCGGGGAGGUUGGAGAGGUACCACGCGACGAGGGGGCUGGAGGUGACCGGCGUCUCCAGGCUGCCGAUGAACGGGUCGCCGUUGAUGGGCUGGACCACUUGGUACGUCGGCUGAGAGGAAACACCAAAACAUGUAUGAGAUGCAAAGCAAGGCCUACAACAAGCUAAACCCUACUUGUAUCCCACAAAUUGUGGUUUGUUUUGGAUGAAUAAAUCUCUGUUCGUCCUAAAAAACAACACGCUAAACCUUAAUUUUAGCUCUCUCUUGCAUGCAAUUGCAAGUUUGCGACUGACCUUGUCAG
rnacentral:lncRNA from 1 species